UACGGAGGGUGCAAGCGUUAUCCGGAUUCACUGGGUUUAAAGGGUGCGUAGGCGGACAGGUAAGUCAGUGGUGAAAUCUCUGGGCUUAACCCAGAAACUGCCGUUGAUACUAUUUGUCUUGAAUAUCCUGGAGGUAGGCGGAAUAUGUCAUGUAGCGGUGAAAUGCUUAGAUAUGACAUAGAACACCAAUUGCGAAGGCAGCAGGCUAAACGAACAUUGACGCUGAGGCACGAAAGCGUGGGGAUCAAACAGG
rnacentral:rRNA from 1 species